GACGACGCUGGCGGCGUGCCUAAUACAUGCAAGUAGGACGAGUUGCGAACGGGUGAGUAAUGUCUGGGAAACUGCCUGAUGGCGGGGGAUAACUACUGGAAACGGUAGCUAAUACCGCAUACCAUCAGAUGUGCACAGAUGGGAUUGGCUAGUAGGGGGGGUAAUGGCUCACCUAGGCGACGAUCCCUAGCUGGUCGGAGAGGAUGACCAUCCACACUGGAACGGAGAGACGGUACAGACUCCAACGGGAGGCAGCAGUGGGGAAUAUUGCACAAUGGGCGGAAGCCUGAUGCAGCCAUGCCGCGUGUGUGAAGAAGGCCUUCGGGUUGUAAAGCACUUUCAGCGAGGAGGCGUUACUCGCAGAAGAAGCACCGGCUAACUCCGUGCCAGCAGCCGCGGUAAUUC
rnacentral:rRNA from 1 species